AAGCAAAACAUUGUUAAGCAGACGGCGUGUCAAAAGGGCAAGAGAUUCAAGCAAACAAGCAAAACAAAACAAAAAAACGCUUUUUAUGUGCUCUCGUAUAUUGAUAGGUGCAAACGAUGCUCUUUUACGAUGCACGAUUGUUACUAAAAUGUGUAGAUGCGUGAUUAGGGGACGUUUAGUAAACGGAGCACCGAGAACGUAUGACUAUGUCCUUCUUUGUUUUCUGAUGCAACAGACACGCGCACCAACAAUGGCUGCAAACAAUGUAAGCAAAACAGUGCUAAGAACAGUGCUCUUCCCCAGCGCUUACGCCACAGAAACGGACACUAUUACUUCCUUGGACGUGUGUGCACCCCUUUGUCAUGUUGUGUAAGAGAGUAACAGUGGACGGAAGCUAGUAACAACAAUCUUUAAAAACAAAAAAAAACCAACCCGUUCCCCCCUCAACCAAACAACUCUAGAACGCCAAUCUUUUUUAAAUGUACGCGGGCAGUGCAAAAAAUGAAGAUGGAAAAAUUAUAAGAAGAGAAAAGGAUGAAAGUAAUGAAAAGAAAGAGAGAGAGUAAGAGAGUAGCAAGUAAAGGAAAACAAACAAACAAAACAAACAAAUCAACAAUCUCUGGAAAAAGGGAGGAGUGUGUGUGUAAGAGAGAUAAAAAACAAAAAUACAAAAAACAAAAACAUCUAAUAACAAAAUCCAAUCGGUCAAUGUGAAAGCGUAGCAUGUGAAACAUGUACAAAUUUACUAUUAAUAAUAAUAAUAAUAAUAUUAACACUAAAAAACCUAUGAUAACGAAGUAAUGCUAAUAAUUAACUAAGCGUAACUACUGCUGCAGUAACAAACACAAGUGAAGGUGGUGGCGGUAGCUGCUGCAGGGGAACAGCGUUUGAUGCACAGCGUCGCGAGAGGAGAGGGGGGUCGUUUUUUCAGAGUGGUUUUGUUGCUUAGCAAUAUUGUAUAAAGCACUUACAGGGUUUUCCAGUAGUACUUAUAGCUGUGCGACACUUGAUUGAUUUCUUCUUGCGUGAAAUGAACUUAAUGUAAUGGGAAUUGGACUCUACAGCACCGUUGUUAGAAAAAAAAAAUCUAAUAGGAAGGAGGCUGUCCAAAAAGUCCAAUUUCCAUCAUAUGAAGUUCAUUUCCUAUAAGAAAGUGUCAAGGAAGUGUACCACAACUAUGGGAACCUCUGGAGACACCCUGUAAACAUGUUAACACACCGUACACAAACAAAGCAUGCUGUUUUCGAGAUGUUGGCAACAUCCUUUUUGACUAUCAUUCUAUGGGGUGUGGCAUGAAGGUAAGGUUCGGAGUGUAUUGUUAUGAUAGAGACACGAUAACUCUUCCUACUUCAUGUCCCCCAUUCGUUGUGCUGUGCUGUGUGUGUGUGUGUGUUAAAUUGCAUUCUCAAUAUUUCUACCACUACUCUGCGGAACACGAUCCUCUUUAACUCUUGUCUGGUGAAUCUUCGCUGUGCAGCCUUCGCAGCACCGCCCCUCCACUCAAGGAUAACAACAAUAACGAAUGAUGAAAGCGAAUGUGGUGAUCUUUAGCCAGUUAGUUGGACAGAGUUGUAAAAUGCAUGUGAUGAAGCGACAGUGAGGAAGGAAAGCAAGUGAAAGCAAACCCCCCGCCCAUCUACAGUAAAUCGAAGCAAAAGGCGUGUGAAAAACGACGGGAUUAUUGUGUGGUGCGAGUGAUCAUAAGCGAGCGCGGAGUCGGUGAGCAAGACCAAAGGCUUAGGAAUGUUUCGAUUUAUGGCGUUUUUUUUUUCUUUUCAAUUUUCCACCGGCAAAGCACAAUAGUUAAAGGCGCGUGUCAGAACGGGCCACAUGGAGGAUAUGUUAAGAAACAUUUUGGAGGUGAAAAUGAAACAAUUUGUCGAAGCAGCAGCAGCAGCAGCAGUAGCAGAAGCGUCCAACGUUAGUGUUAGAAGCGAGAAGUGCAUAUAUCGAAGCGUUAGUGGAUAAUCUAUUUUAUAAUUGCGUGCGUCUGUCGGCCAGCGGGUGGUGCUGUAAGAAAGAGAGAAGGAGAGAUUGUGUGAAGGCGGAGGGAAAAGGGUUAAAACUUAAUUUUCCCAUUUUGUCAAAUACCUCUAUACAAGAAAUGCGCAUUUGUUGGUUCUCAGUUUCGUUUGUAAGAGUUUUGCUGCUGUUUUUUUGUGUUUUGCUCCCUAGUAGCAGUAGUAGUAGUAGUAGUUGUGUACGUGUACCACCUAUUCCGCUACUUUUUACCGUAAAACGGGGAGUCGACAGAAAAUAAGGAUAAUAGGCACACUCAACACAUUUAAAAUAAACACACACACACAAAACAAAUAUUACUCGUGUAAUCUAAGUUGCAGUUUAGGGAUAAGUUUAUUUGUUUUUUUUCUUCUGCGAAAUGUAUGUGAUUGAAGAGCGGGAGGUGUGGAUAGCAGGAUGAUGAUAAACAGUACAAGCUAUACAUGGGGGGAGGAAGCAAAACAUUUAUGCAGAAAAGCAGCAGCAGCAACAGCACACCACACGGAGUGGUCUAUAGUUAGCGCUAGGCAUCUGUUUUAGGCGAUGAAUUAUGUUACAAAUGAAUUUAACCACACACACACAUACACAUACACUUACAUAACAAACAGAAGCAUAAGAUUUAUACAUAGCCACAUUUAAAGGAACUAACAUAGUACAUGCAUGCAUAUAGAAUACUUGAGAGAAAAACGGAAUUCUCGUUUCAUAUUGUUUGGGCCGAUCAGUUUAUAUACAUUAACAGCAGCAGCCUGAGUUUGGAUAUGAUUGGUUGUUUUUCCUAAAAUUCCCUCGAUGUAGGAGUAAAAUUUGCAAAAAAACGACAGUCGGAAACAAGAUCACCCAAAAUAAAAAUGGCUUGUUUAAGGGAAAAAGAAAUUGUUAAGAAAAACAAAAACACACGUACACACUAGGGUAACAAAUAUAAAAAAAAACAAACAAACAAAGAAAAAGGACAAACUCACAUAAAAUACACUAACAAAGCAAAACAAACAAACAAAUAGGACAGAGACACAUAAACAAGUACAUUAACAAAGUAAAACAAACCAGACAGGACAACCACAUAAACAAAAUACACUAAACAAAACAAACAAAUUGCAAUUAAUUGUGAUGCACUUGUGGUGGGAAAUUGUGGGAGGGGAAGAAUUGUUGUAAACACGGGUAGAGAGAGAGAGUGGUGAAGUGUUGUAGUAGGGAGGAUAGGGAAGAAACUGGUUAAAGCUGUGCGGUUUAGAAUGAUGCUAGACAGUUUCUGCUCGUAGGGUAAUGAGUAAGGACCAUUCCCCCAAACUCAUAAGUUUAUGUAUAAUGCACACUUACACUCACACACACGAGCACGCCUGAAACUACUCGUAAUGGUCGAAAGUGCAUCUGUCGAAUUUUAUCUUUAACAACCUGUAUGUGUAUGUUGCUGCACAGAUAAUUGUAUGUCUCUCUCACUCAUUCUUUUUCACGCCAGCUUAGAUCUUUUAUUUGGGGAGUGGUAGUGCAUUUGGAGGACGGCGGAGAACAGUGAAGCCACACACUUUUUGAAAGUUUCAACUUUUGCAGUCAAUUUUGUGCAUAUAUAGGAAGAGUAGUAGAAUAGUACGUUAACACAUGGUGUUAACACUUUGUAAUACUCUCAAUCUUUGGAAUGUAUGCAACACACGGGUGUCUGUGUGUGUGUGCUUUUGUGUAGCAUGUUCUAUUAAGGGGUUUGGAAAGUAGAGAAGAGUAUGCACUUGUAAAGCCGAAGGUUCUUGCAACGAAAGAAGCUUUCCUUUUUAAAUCUUAAUACAGCCAAGCGACGUGUGAUAAUACGCGAAGGGUUUGUUCUACUUUGCUUUUGGGCAUUGUUUUAUAACGAUGAAAAUCCAUAAAAAAUAGGCACUGUUUGUUGUCUUUUAUCCUUCCUCUAUAUUGAGUGACACACAGAAGGAGAGAGUGGCACUUUCCUUUCGUGCAGUACUUUUAACCGCUUCCUUUGAUUGCACAGCAGCAACAUGCCAAACCGAAUGUUCUUCGUCUCUGUGGUUACUGUUUUUUUUUGUCAACCACCGAAAGGAUGUUGUUCUCGUAUCUUUGUACAAUGGGAGCUACUACUGCGGCUGGUUCAUACAAAUGAUUGUUGUGAUAAAAUAAGAAGAUAAAAACACAAACACUUACAGACACAAAUACACACAAAAACAAAACGAGAAAAAAAAAAUCAGGAAAAGAAGCAACAUUUUGCAAACACAUACAUCCCUAGCAUGGAUAAUGAAGAAGAAGCGUACGGCACUGAUAGAGAAAAAAAAUCGGGCGAAAAAAAAAACAAAGAAAAGAACGUAAGAGUAAUCAAAAACGUAACGUAAACCAAUUCCUUCCGGAUGCGCCAAAUGAAACCGCUCAAUGCGGAACAAAUUACUACUACUACUACUACAACUACAAGUACUAACUAACUAACUAACUAUAUCCCCCGGAAAGAGCACCACACCACAGUCCUGGAGCAAUUAAAGCAAAACAGAAGAAGAAAAGAGAAGAAAACACAACACUUAAAAUAGUAAUGCUAAACACAGCUUAAUAUGGACAAACACAGGAGAAAAAAAUUGUGCACAUGUGGUCUAAUAGAGAGUAGUAGUUGUAGAAAGCAGAAAAGCAUAAAACAAAUCAUCAAUAUUGAUAUACUCACCCAGGAAACAAAAACAUACAUACAAAAGGAGAACAGAGAUGAAGAAGCGCAAGACCAGUUUAUAGAGGAGAACCGUUGUGAAUCGUACCGAAAAUGAGAUUCGUUGCUGGUUAUGUGCUUUUUUUAUUAAAAGGAAACAAUGGGUAAUUUGUUGUAUCACAACUCUAAUUCAUAGUUGUCCCACCACACACACGCGCGAAUUGCAGACAAACAAACAAAUGGUGGGAUAUAAAAUUGAAGAAAAACAAACAAACAGCAGCACACGUGAGAAAGGCGUGAAAAGUUACUCUUUUUUUUGUCGAUGAAUGGAAAUACAAAAAGAAGAAGAAAAAGAAAAGAAAAUAGCACAUGUGAAAAUGCAUGAUGAAAAUACAAAAAAUACACAAAAGAGCAGGAAAAUUGCCGAGAAUAGAACCACAACAGUAGAGAUAUGUGAAGCAAAAGAAGGAAAGGAAGGAAGUGAGAAAAUAAAUAGUAGGCAAGAAUGGAAUGGAAUGGAAGCAGUUGAGUAAAACAACAAAUUAAACAACAAAUUAAAGAUUAAUGUGAUUGUAUUGUACAUAAAUUUGUAUUAUAUAAAGCGAAUAAGAAAAUGUGAAAUAAGAAAAUCCAACAAAAUUAAUGAGCGUA